rnacentral:rRNA from 1 species
UACGGAGGGUGCAAGCGUUGUCCGGAUUUAUUGGGUUUAAAGGGUGCGUAGGCGGCCAAUUAAGUCAGUGGUGAAAUCCUUCCGCUUAACGGGAGAACUGCCAUUGAAACUGGUUGGCUUGAGUACGGUUGAAGUAGGCGGAAUUUAUGGUGUAGCGGUGAAAUGCAUAGAUACCAUAAAGAACACCGAUAGCGUAGGCAGCUUACUAAGCCGUAACUGACGCUGAGGCACGAAAGCAUGGGGAGCGAACAGG